rnacentral:rRNA from 1 species
UUGACCUCAAAUCAGGUAGGUCC